rnacentral:tRNA from 1 species
GGGUCGUUAGCUCAGUUGGUAGAGCAGCUGACUCUUAAUCAGUAGGUCCACGGUUCGAAUCCGUGACGGCCCA